GGCCACAAACAAAAGGGCCAUAUAUUUAUGUUGAUGGAGAAAAGAUUGUGAGUUAUAUAUGUUUAUGUAGAAUAUAAAAAAACAACAACAAUUUGUUUGUUUUUGGAAUCAAUGAAGCCUUUCAUAAAAAAAAUCAAACACUAAAGUUAUUUUUGACCAUAUAUAUUUUAUAAACUAGAAUAGAUAUACACAUCGUGGAAGUAUUUGUAUAACAAAAAAAAUUAUAUAACUAUCUCAAUUAUCGAAGAUUUUUUUUUAAUUUAAGUCAUUUGAAUUGUCACACAAGUCAGAAAAGUCAUUUGAAGCCUUUCAUAUGAUUAUAAAAUAUACACUUCACUUGAAUUUUCAUCUGUUAGUUUCAGUACACUUUUUAUUGUAUAGUCAAACAAUAGCCUGUGUUAACUUCACUACAAUGUUAACAUGUACAAUAGGUUAAACCCAAGUAAUUAUUCGACUCUUUGAAGAAAUCUCGCAGAUUGGGUAACAUGAUUUCGAUGGAAAUCAAACUGACUUUCUCAAAAUAUUCGGGGUCAACAAUCUGUUUCUCUAUAAGAACUAUUAUAUGACACCUGAUGUUUUAUAAAUUAUGACUUCAUUUCUAUAUAUUUACGAAAACAAAGUUUAAAAUUCUCUCAAAAUAUUUACAAUUAACACAAUAAUAGAGCAAUGUUCUCUCCAAAACAUACAUGACACCUCAGCUUUUAAAAUGACCGAGGGAUCUGACAUGUCAUUAACCGAAAAAAGUUGAGAAUCCAAUAGAAAUAUUUUGUUUCUCCACAUCAUUUUUGUCUUGUGCUUCACCUUUUCUUCUUCGUUUGUAUCCAAUUCCACCCCUUUCACGUGUUCUUCGAAGAUUUGCGAUCAGAAAUAUUGAAAAUCAGAUGGGUUCUUGGCUCUCUAUGUUUCUCUGCUAUUGUGCGGCCUCAUGUUCAUGCAAUAAGCCCCCUCCUCAUGCCCUAACCACCGUAUAUGUCGCCUUCGAUCAGAUUGUCUCUCUCUCUCUCUUAUGUCGGAACCGCCGCGUUUCUCGAUGUCUCCUCAUGCCGCAAAGCCUCCUAGCCGUAACCACCAUACAUGUCUCUCUCAAUUAGAUAUUUUCUCUCAUGUCGGAACCACGGCGUUUCCGGAUGUGAAAGCAGCUCGAGUCGAGCUGAGAGUCAAAACGAGCGAUGGGUACCACAGCCUUUCUCCGGAGAUCGAGUAUAGCGUAGAGUGAAAUUGGAUGUUCUGCUGUGGCAAAAAGACAGAAGUGGUAGUUCUGUGGUGUUGUGUUCCCUCAUGUGCCUGAGAUCUUGAAAGGUCUUCGUUUUGUAGGUUUAAUACGUCCGUAAAGAUUUCAGUAACAUUGUAGUGAAUCCUUUUGCUGGUGUACAGAUCUCAGGAACGACGUUGUCAAUCAUUUGUCAUAGAAGACCUUACAAAUGUAAUGAAAUUAGGUUUGGUUAAAAUUUUAGAUUCUGUUGGGGCCAUGAUCCAUUUGUGGUUGUUAUUUUUGUUAAAACUUGCUGGUUUCUUGUGUUCAGAAGCAUCGUACUAAAACCACAUGUGGUGUUGUGUCCACAUGGUUUCUUGUGUUCAAAAGCAUCCUUAAGAAGCAUAUGAUCAAGUUCACCAGUGUGACUGUUUCUAGCUACCAGUACUUGCUGGACGUAUAGCUAAGGAGUUGCAGAAUUGGAAGUGUUGCCAAGUACUUGCUGGAAUUGAUCACUGCUCCUGCAUGCACUCUUUUUGAUUAUGACAAUGGGAGAAUAAAAGUUGAUCAUGAAGUUGUUUAUGCUUCUUCUUUUUGGUAGGGAAUUAAGGUUAAGACAUCAGUCAUCAUAUGCUUACCUCUUUUGGAAGAGCAACCAAAUAGAUUGCCAAAUAGAGGCCAUUAAUACCAAUUACUUUUGUAGUCAUUCCCAGGGUCCAGAAAAAUCAGUUGAAAUGGCGCUUUAGUGUACCCUUUGAGGCGGAAUCAACAAGUGCCACAAACGAGUCAGUUCUAAAGGUUCCGUUGGACCACGGGAAGCAAGCAGCAGGAGUGAUAAAGCCGCAUGACAGAGAAGUGGUGUGCAGAAAGUUAGUGAUGCAUCUGUGGUCAAGAUCAUCAAGGUAGAUGAUUGAUAAAAUGGUAGCUAUAAUCUUUUUGCUUCAAUCCAAUGCCGGAGUGAGUAUAUUAGUUUGUUCUCACAUAUAUGUAGUUUAAUGAACAAGCUCAUGCAUUGCUAAAAUGUUUGCGAGAGAAUGUAAAAUUAGAUUGAUGAAGGUUAUACUUGCGUUCCAUCUGAUUGAUGUCCACUAAAAUUCCAUACAGCUACGGGACGAGCAAUUGAUAAUAUAUAUAUGUUUGAUUUAUUUGUAGAUGAAGCAGUUGUAUACAUUAUCACCCGACCACGCAAUCAUCAACAACUUCUAUUUGAGAAAGAAACAUAUUAAAAUCAUCGUAUUGUCUCACACUCUUCUCUAAACCAAGUGGACUGCAAUUUAAUUAGUUUUACUAAACAGUUCCAAAUCCUUUCUCUUUUUGAAGCUUCUUGAUGUAGUUAUAUUCUUGUAUCAGCUGGUUUUCACUAAUCAAAACAAUGGCUUCACAAUGUUUCACUCUACCAUUAACUUUGACUUUAAUUGAUCUUAUCAUUGUUUCUUCAG